rnacentral:rRNA from 1 species
AUUGAACGCUGGCGGCAGGCCUAACACAUGCAAGUCGAGCGGAUGAAGGGAGCUUGCUCCUGGAUUCAGCGGCGGACGGGUGAGUAAUGCCUAGGAAUCUGCCUGGUAGUGGGGGAUAACGUCCGGAAACGGGCGCUAAUACCGCAUACGUCCUGAGGGAGAAAGUGGGGGAUCUUCGGACCUCACGCUAUCAGAUGAGCCUAGGUCGGAUUAGCUAGUUGGUGGGGUAAAGGCCUACGAAGGCGACGAUCCGUAACUGGUCUGAGAGGAUGAUCAGUCACACUGGAACUGAGACACGGUCCAGACUCCUACGGGAGGCAGCAGUGGGGAAUAUUGGACAAUGGGCGAAAGCCUGAUCCAGCCAUGCCGCGUGUGUGAAGAAGGUCUUCGGAUUGUAAAGCACUUUAAGUUGGGAGGAAGGGCAGUAAGUUAAUACCUUGCUGUUUUGGCGUUACCAACAGAAUAAGCACCGGCUAACUUCGUG